UGCAGUCGGANGGUAGCACAGAGGANCUUGCUCCUCGGGUGACGAGUGGNGGACGGGUGAGUAGUGUCNGGGGAUCUGCCCGAUAGAGGGGGAUAACCACUGGAAACGGUGGCUAAUACCGCAUAACGUCGCAAGACCAAAGAGGGGGACCUUCGGGCCUCUCACUAUCGGAUGAACCCANAUGGGAUUAGCUAGUANGCGGGGUAACGGCCCACCUANGCGACNAUCCCUAGCUGGUCUGAGAGGAUGACCAGCCACACUGGAACUGANACACGGUCCAGACUCCUACGGGAGGCAGCAGUGGGGAAUAUUGCACAGUGGGCGCAAGCCUGAUGCACCCAUGCCGCGUGUAUGAANAANGCCUUCGGGUUGUAAAGUACUUUCAGCGGGGANGAAGGCGAUGUGGUUAAUAACCGCAUUGAUUGACGUUACCCGCAAAAGAAGCACCGGCUAACUCCGUGCCANCANCCGCGGUAAUACNGAGGGUGCAAGCGUUAAUCNGAAUUACUGGGCGUAAAGCGCAC
rnacentral:rRNA from 1 species